rnacentral:rRNA from 1 species
AAUGUAUAGCAAUAGCUACUUGCAUCAUUGUAAAUAUGAUGCAAGAUCGACUAUGUCGAAUAAAAUUCUAGGUAGAAUUAUGAUAAUGACAUUGUCUGCCUAUGUGUCUUGACCAAAUUACGUGCCAGCAGUCGCGGUAAUACGUAGAAGACUAGUGUUAUUCAUGUUUAAUCGGUUUAAAGGGUACCUAGACGGUAAAUCAAGCCUAAAAAGAAAGAAAUAAAGGGACUAAUUUACUAGAGUUACUUAUGAGGGGGUAUUAAAGUACUGCUGGUGUAGAGAUGAAAUUCUGUCAUACCUCUUUUCAAUAGAAAAAUAACGGCACAGGUAUAGGCGAAGGCAUCCCCUUAUGUGAUAACUGACGUUGAGGGACGAAGGCUUUGUGUAGCGAACAGGAUUAGAUACCCCAGUAGUCAAAGCAGAAAAUGAUGAAUGUCAUAGAUUAGAUGUAUAAGUUUAUUCUAUAAAUGAAAGUGUAAGCAUUCCACCUCAAGAGUAAUUUGGCAACAUUGGAACUGAAAUCAUUAGACCGUUUCUGAAACCAGUAGUGAAGUAUGUUGUUUAAUUUGAUGAUCCGCAAAAAACCUUACCACAAUUUGAAUAUUUAUAUUUUUAUUUAUUGUUUUCUUUUUAAUUUUCUUCUGAUUUUCUGCUUGAGGAAAAAAGAAGAAAAGUAAAAAAAGGCAAUAAGAUAUAUUUACAAGCGUUGCACGGCUGUCUUCAGUUAAUGUCGUGAGACUAUGGUUAGUUCCAUUAAAUUAACGUAAACCCUUACUUUAUUUUUAUAUAGAGUAGUUCCCCGCUAUAUUGGAUAUGAUAACAGG